rnacentral:lncRNA from 1 species
AAAAUCGGGGCACGGUCAUCGUGGAGCGCUGGUGGAAGGUACCGCUGGCCGGGGAGGGCCGGAAGCCGCGCCUGCACCGGCGACAUCGCGUCUAUAAGCUGGUGGAGGACACGAAGCAUCGGCCCAAAGAAAACCUGGAGCUCAUCCUGACGCAGUCGGUGGAGAAUGUUGGAGUCCGGGGUGACCUGGUCUCAGUGAAGAAAUCUUUAGGCCGGAAUCGACUCCUUCCUCAGGGACUGGCUGUAUAUGCAUCCCCUGAAAACAAGAAGCUGUUUGAAGAGGAGAAAUUGCUGAGACAAGAAGGAAAAUUAGAGAAGAUCCAGACCAAGGCAGGUGAGGCGACCCAAGAGUGGGAGAAAGGGGAAGUGUUGUGGCUGCCCCACAAAACAG